AAAAAUGCUUCAGCAUUUGAAAAUUGUGGGGAUUGCUUUUAUGCUUCCUUAAACUCUUGAACUUGGCUGAUAGCUUUAAUUUUUUAAUUGUUGAGGUAAUGAACUUUUAUACGGUUCUGUUUUCUUCUUCUUCUCCUUCCUUUUUUCCCAUUUCUCCUAUUAAUAGCUUUCUGAGAUUUUUAGUUUCGUUGAAUUUUGAUGUCACAGUGCAUUAGGAUGGAAUAUGAAAUGCAUUUUGGAUUUGAGAGUGAGGUUAUUGAUUUUGCAUAUGAAUUGUUUACUACUUGAAAUUUUUUUUGUUCUGUUCUAUACUGGAAGGAAUAUGAAAAUUGAUGAUUCGGGUUAUU
rnacentral:misc_RNA from 1 species